rnacentral:rRNA from 1 species
GCAGUCGAGGGGCAGCAUUUUAGUUUGCUUUGCAAACUAAAGAUGGCGACCGGCGCACGGGCUGAGCUAACACGCUAUCCAACCUGCCGAUAACUCGGGGAUAGCCUUUCGAAAGAAAGAUUAAUAUCCGAUAGUAUAUUAAAACCGCAUGGUUUUUACUAUUAAAGAAUUUCGGUUAUCGAUGGGGAUGCGUUCCAUUAGUUUGUUGGCGGGGUAACGGCCCACCAAGACUACGAUGGAUAGGGGUUCUGAGAGGAAGGUCCCCCACAUUGGAACUGAGACACGGUCCAAACUCAUACGGGAGGCAGCAGUGAGGAAUAUUGGUCAAUGGACGAGAGUCUGAACCAGCCAAGUAGCGUGAAGGAUGACUGCCCUAUGGGUUGUAAACUUCUUUUAUAUGGGAAUAAAGUAUUCCACGUGUGGGAUUUUGUAUGUACCAUAUGAAUAAGGAUCGGCUAACUCCGUGCCAGCAGCCGCGGUAAUACGGAGGAUCCGAGCGUUAUCCGGAUUUAUUGGGUUUAAAGGGAGCGUAGGUGGAUUGUUAAGUCAGUUGUGAAAGUUUGCGGCUCAACCGUAAAAUUGCAGUUGAAACUGGCAGUCUUGAGUACAGUAGAGGUGGGCGGAAUUCGUGGUGUAGCGGUGAAAUGCUUAGAUAUCACGAAGAACUCCGAUUGCGAAGGCAGCUCACUAGACUGCAACUGACACUGAUGCUCGAAAGUGUGGGUAUCAAACAGGAUUAGAUACCCUGGUAGUCCACACAGUAAACGAUGAAUACUCGCUGUUUGCGAUAUACAGUAAGCGGCCAAGCGAAAGCAUUAAGUAUUCCACCUGGGGAGUACGCCGGCAACGGUGAAACUCAAAGGAAUUGACGGGGGCCCGCACAAGCGGAGGAACAUGUGGUUUAAUUCGAUGAUACGCGAGGAACCUUACCCGGGCUUAAAUUGCAUUUGAAUAAUCUGGAAACAGGUUAGCCGCAAGGCAAAUGUGAAGGUGCUGCAUGGUUGUCGUCAGCUCGUGCCGUGAGGUGUCGGCUUAAGUGCCAUAACGAGCGCAACCCUUAUCUUUAGUUACUAACAGGUCAUGCUGAGGACUCUAGAGAGACUGCCGUCGUAAGAUGUGAGGAAGGUGGGGAUGACGUCAAAUCAGCACGGCCCUUACGUCCGGGGCUACACACGUGUUACAAUGGGGGGUACAGAAGGCAGCUACCUGGCGACAGGAUGCUAAUCCCAAAAACCUCUCUCAGUUCGGAUCGAAGUCUGCAACCCGACUUCGUGAAGCUGGAUUCGCUAGUAAUCGCGCAUCAGCCAUGGCGCGGUGAAUACGUUCCCGGGCCUUGUACACACCGCCCGUCAAGCCAUGAAAGCCGGGGGUACCUGAAGUACGAACCGCAAGGAGCUCCAGG